rnacentral:rRNA from 1 species
AUACCGAGGGUGCAAGCGUUAAUCGGAAUUACUGGGCGUAAAGCGCGCGUAGGUGGUUUGUUAAGUUGGAUGUGAAAGCCCCGGGCUCAACCUGGGAACUGCAUCCAAAACUGGCAAGCUAGAGUACGGUAGAGGGUGGUGGAAUUUCCUGUGUAGCGGUGAAAUGCGUAGAUAUAGGAAGGAACACCAGUGGCGAAGGCGACCACCUGGACUGAUACUGACACUGAGGUGCGAAAGCGUGGGGAGCAAACAGGAUUAGAUACCCCUGUAGUCC